AAGACUGUGCUUCACAGGAUCAUUUCUGUAGGCAAGUUUUCAUCACAAGUUUUUUCCUACCGGAAAUAAUAUGAG